rnacentral:rRNA from 1 species
CCCUUAGAUGUUCUGGGCAGCACGCGCGCUACAAUGGUCUUCGCAAACGGAUGCAUUCUCGAAGGAGAAUGCCAAUCUUGGAAUCUAUGCCUUGGUCGGGACAGUUGCUUGCAAUUUUUCGACUCGAACCAGGAAUUCCUUGUAAUCGUGAUUCAUCACUUCACGAUGAAUACGUCCCUGCCCUUUGUACACACCGCCCGUCGCUCCUACCGAUCGAAGAGUUAGGUGAAUUGUUUUGAUCGAUAAGAUUUGACUAUGGUCAACUCUCGUUGUGAAAUUCUGUGAAUCUGACUGUUUAGAGGAAGGAAAAGUCGUAACA